AACAAUUUUCUGUGAAAAUAAAAGAAAACUCAAUUUCAAAUUUUAUGAAGAAAACAUAAUAAAUUUCAAAUUACCUACUCUUAAGGACCCUUCUUUUGUUUUAAAACGAAAAAGAAACCAUAUUUAGCUUUUGAGAGUCGAGAAAAUUAAUUUGAAGUUCUCGAGUUGUUCUGAAAUUGAAAUGAAAGAAUUUUCUCAAAAAAAAAAAAAAUUACCAGUCAACAAAGUAAAAAAAAAUAAAAAUUAAUAAAAAAAGAAGUAAAACAAAACUUUGAAACAACUCAUGCAAAGCCCUUUUUGAACUGAAAUGCUUUUAACCCAUAUCCGGUUGGGAGAGCUCCUUCAGACGGACCAAACAACUAACGGAGCUAGCCGCACGAAUACCUCCUAAUCUCAAGGACACCACCAUCAUCGUAUAUAGUCAUCGUCAAAAGAAGCAGUUUUAUCGUCAUGAGUGCAAGGACGACUACAAGGAAGAGGGUGAAGCAGCCAGCAGCAGCCAACGCGACAUAAGAACGACAGCGGCGUCAAAAGUAAUUAAUUCAAGUGUACAAGGACAAAAAAGGAUUUUAUUCUCAAAUAAAAACAAGCAAAAAGAAAAAAAAAAAACAAAAUUGUAUAAAGUACAAACUUAAAACUAUAAAACAGUUGAAAACUUAAUAGCUAUGCGGUGUUGAGUUGGAAAUAGAAGCAGCAAAAGCAAAGAGAAAAAGAGUGGGACCAUCCCACUUUGCACACGGAGAAUUUUCAUUCGUUUUAAUUAGGAGGCAGGAUUCAUGAACCGACGUCAUCAUCAUCAUCAUCAUCAUAAUUAUCAUCAACAUCUUGAGCUUUCAUUAUAUUCUUUACUUUGUGCGAGAAUACCACCUGAAGUGGCACAUAUGUGGCUUGAUUCGGUUUGAAGGAGCCAACAACAUCUUGCUCUAGAGAGGAUUAUAGAAGAAAGCCUUCUGCUUUUCUCUGAUGUUGAUAUGCUGCUGCUGCUUCUGCUACCUCAUUUUUUGUGCUGCGCCAAAAACACUUGCCCCCGAAACCAAGCAAGUGAAAAAGGAAUCCUUUUCGGUAUGCUGCGAAUAAGAGUAUAGUCAAAUAUAUACACACACUUACGCUUGAGUGAA